UCCAAAAGAUGUCUAAGAGUUGGACAUGUCUUUCUCUUCCUUUCUUCUCAAAAGAUGUCCAAGAGUUGGACACGAAUAAAAAUUAGAUUUGAUCAGAUUUUUCUCUCCUUAUUGGUUCAUGAGAUGGACACAAAAUUCCUCCUCUACUUCUAAAGAUAUCCAAGAGUUGAACAUGAUUAAAUCAGAUUUGAUCUGAUUUAAUUUUUUUGGUCCAUGAGAUGGACGGUUCUCCUCUACCUUUUUUAAAUUUAAUCCAUGAGUUGGACAAGAAAGGAAGAAAAAAGAGAUUUGAUCUCUUAUCUUUUUUUGUA
rnacentral:lncRNA from 1 species